rnacentral:rRNA from 1 species
UGGGGAAUAUUGGACAAUGGGCGAAAGCCUGAUCCAGCCAUGCCGCGUGUGUGAAGAAGGUCUUCGGAUUGUAAAGCACUUUAAGUUGGGAGGAAGGGUUGUAGAUUAAUACUCUGCAAUUUUGACGUUACCGACAGAAUAAGCACCGGCUAACUCUGUGCCAGCAGCCGCGGUAAUACAGAGGGUGCAAGCGUUAAUCGGAAUUACUGGGCGUAAAGCGCGCGUAGGUGGUUGGUUAAGUUGGAUGUGAAAGCCCCGGGCUCAACCUGGGAACUGCAUCCAAAACUGGCAAGCUAGAGUACGGUAGAGGGUGGUGGAAUUUCCUGUGUAGCGGUGAAAUGCGUAGAUAUAGGAAGGAACACCAGUGGCGAAGGCGACCACCUGGACUGAUACUGACACUGAGGUGCGAAAGCGUGGGGAGCAAACA